UCUUUGUUAAUUAUUUUUUCAAUCAUAACAUUUUGCAGGCUGAGAUACUAUUAAACUCCUAGAGGUAAAUGUGAAAAAAAUUAAUAAAGGCUGCAUUCAAAAGCUUAGGCAGCUGACUUAUAAGGUGGUGAUUUUAGAGGCAGCAUUUGUGCUAAGAGUACCUAUAAAACUGAUUUCUGAGACAGCAUAAUUUAAUCGUGUACAACUAAAUAGAGAGAGAGAGUUUUGGUGAUAACUAAAGCAAUAUUUGCUUACAACUAUACUAACCUACUAACUAGAACUGCCAUCAAAAGUGGAAAACGUUGAUCAAAAUCAUACAGUUGAGGUCUAAAUUAUUAGCCCUCCUGUGAAAUUUGUUUUCUCUUUAAAACUUUCCCAAGUGAUGUUUACCAAAGCAAGGUAUUUCACAGGUAUUUAUUUGCACAGUGUUUCCUUUUUUGUUAAAGAAACUCUUAUAUUAGUUAGGCUGGAAUAAAAGCAGUUUUUACAUUUUAAAGAUGAAUAUUAUUACCCUACUUAUAAUUUUCUUUCCCCAAUUGGCUCUAGAACAAACCACUGGUUAUCCAAUAACUUGCUAGUUAAAUUAAUGAACCUAGUUAAGCCUUUAAAUUGUAUUUUAGGGUGUACUCACACUAAGCUAUCCGAGCCGUGCCAGGGCACGUUGGACCACCAUUUUCCAAUUCGUUUGAGGUGUCCAGGCGCGGUUCAGAUGGCUGGCCCUGGCCCGAAAAGGUGGUCUGAAGCGCAUAGGUUAGCCUUUUGCAUGGUUCACUUCUAAUGUGAGUGCAAAGCGUGCCUGAGUGUGAAACUGAAGACACACUGUCACCUUUAAGGGACUGUUGUGUGAUACACCAAUUUGUGUUUUGUCAUUAAUGUAUCUAUUUAUUUAUGUAUAUACUGUAAAAGUAAUUUAUUAUCACUACUAAUGACUGGGUUUGAAAAGAAAUAACAUCAACAGUUGAGAAAGCAUGCGCUGUGGGUUACCAUGACGAUACUUGUUGUGUUUACUUCAGAUGCUACUAAGCUGCUCCUGAGGAAAGACACUGACGUUUUCUUGUGAUUUUGUUUCUCCUGAUAAUUCAGAUGGCUGAUCUGGUAGACUUGGUUUCUCUUCUGCUUUCUGGCCUCUGAUAUGCUUGAAUCAUAUCAGAUUCAACAGCUCAGACAUUGCCAUUGCCAUCAGUGACCACCUCACAGGCUUCCUGAAGAUCACACUCAUGGAUUUAAGGGUAAGAUGUUUGCUCCACAGCUCUAGGUUUGACAUCUUGAAUUUAAGGAUUUGACAUUAAUACUAGAUCAUCUGUUGGUUGAUUCUCACUUUGGAGUCUGAACUCCUAAAAUUUUCAGGCUGCUGGCAAUGGGUCUGUUCAACGUUAUAGCUGGCAUCCAGAAUACAUUGACCUACAUGUUCCAGAUGCACAUAUAAGUCCAUGAAGACAUUCCUUUGAAAUUUGCACCAUUAAAUAUGCAUCACCAAACAAUGGUAAAUUAGGAUUUAAGUUGGAUUUUGGGUUGUUUCAAGAAAAGCAAGGAAGCAGGUUCAAAGCUGUUCCACAAAAAUAAUAACCGUCAGGUUUUAGAUUACGAGAUACUUCUGGAUCUGGUUGGUUCACAAGCUUGGGAUGAUUUGUUUUAUAGAAUACAGUUGAAGAUCUCUGCAACCAGUACUGGACCUGUAAGCUCUAGAACAUGUUUUUUUUUUUUUUUUUUGGCAGAAAUAUAACAUACGUGGUUCUAUUAUCUCCACAUUAAGAUUCCUUGUACUAAAAGAAGAUUCCAAAUGACAAGGAUUCAUUGCUGCACAAUGACAAAAACCAACAAAAGUUAGACAAAGCUUUUGAGCAUCAAGAUCAUUUUGGUUUGUGCCACCGUCAGUGUCUUGACAUAAGGCAAGAUUAGGUCUGAAAGAUUGCAGAUCACAAAUCUUCUGUGAUGGGCUGUUACUAAUAAAUAAAACUUGAGGAAGAUCUAACUUUGUAGUAUGGUUCUUCUAGGUUCUAGGUUCCUUGCUUAAGGUCUGAAAUAUGGUGAUUGCCCGAAUCUGAUUUAUAUAAAGAAGCACCAGUUGGCUCUCAGCUGAGAGAAGAGCCGGAGAUAGCUGGAGAUGAAAUUCCCAAUUCUGCAUCAGUAGCGUCCAAGGUUUUGCUGGAUGCCAUUGUGCUUGCAUAUCAGAGCAGGUUCCUAAAAUGUGUUCCAUUGUUAAGAUUCCUGGUUCAAAAUGAAAUGAACAACAUCUUCAUCACAAACCACGUAGAGACUCCAGGUUGCUUAAAUUUCUCUUUAAUGGCAAAACUGUUAAUAACUCUUUACUUUCUGUAUAGUCUUCUCAAAACUUAAAUUUUUACAACUUCAGCUCAUUUUGAGUGAUCGUGCAUAAGGUGAAGUAAAACUAACAAUACAAUGCACUCGUUUUUUUUGUCUUCCGCUGCUUACAGCAGUCGUCACUACCAGAGGAUUGACAGGUUGUGAAAAAAGUAGCACUCCAAAUCCUUUAGAACUAUUUACAAAUAACUCGCUGAAAUUCACAGUUUGUACAAAACAACUCAUUGUUAAACUGCCUAAAACAUUGACAAAA